rnacentral:rRNA from 1 species
UACGGAGGGAGCUAGCGUUGUUCGGAAUUACUGGGCGUAAAGCGCACGUAGGCGGCUUUGCAAGUUAGAGGUGAAAGCCCGGGGCUCAACUCCGGAAUUGCCUUUAAAACUGCAUCGCUAGAAUUGUGGAGAGGUAAGUGGAAUUCCGAGUGUAGAGGUGAAAUUCGUAGAUAUUCGGAAGAACACCAGUGGCGAAGGCGACUUACUGGACACAUAUUGACGCUGAGGUGCGAAAGCGUGGGGAGCGAACAGG